ACUCUGAUCUGAUGGGUAACAGGAGUCACUGUUUGUACUUGGUGGUGUCCUGAGAAAGAGGAGGAAGCAAGGCCCAUGGUCUACAGAGAAUUAAAACGCAAGAAAACCAGCUAGUUGGCUCGCUUUACAUUAUCACUGCCGUUCUAAGCGACGGUGGUGACAAAACACUCCUUCAGAGCAGGCGGCCACCCUCCGCACAGCUGGGCACUUCUGACGGGGUUCUACGUAAUCAGUUGAUUGUGUUAGAACAGCUGACACGUUCUUCUUCCGUUCCUCUUUAUGGCCUUAGUUUCAUAGAAGCCCUUACUUUUCGAGUGUUGGAGGCAUGUCCUGUUUUUCCGUUCAGACGACAACAUGCCUCAAGGGUCCACAGGCUGCAGGCCAUCCACGGAGCUCGGAGUUGAAAAGCGCUGUUAGAGAUGCAAUGAGCUCUCUGGAAAAACUUGGUAGACCGCCUUAUUUUGUGCACGUAACAGAAGAAGUCAGAAGUUAGCUAUGAGUCACCACUUUCCUAUUAUUCUAGCGUUGAACCCCGCGGAGCAGAAAGAGGUCUGAAGCAUAAAAACCAAGGUUCUUUAAAAAGAGAUGAGCAUGCAGAUGUGGCAUCGUUGACCUAGAGUCAAGUUCUGGGGUGUAGCAACUGUAUGACCUUAGAAGUAACCUACUCAAUUGCUCGCAGCCUCGGUUUUGCCAUUUGUAGAAUGGGGCUAAGAACCCCCAGCCAGCUACUUCCGUGUCAUUUCUAAAAGUCCAGUGAAAUCGGGUAUAGGAAGGGGUGAUGCAUGUUUUAAAGCCUGGUGCUUUCCAGGAUUCAAGAAGGGGAGACAUGGAGCCCAGAGCAAGCAUAUCUGCGGAGGUCAAAUGUAGUUCUAGGUCUGGAACUUGAAUUUCCAUUGCAAAUACAGUGUGCUGGGCAAAGUUGGAGGACAUCAAAGUGAACAUGUGAAAUGUGGACACUAGGUAAACUGAGAGCUCAGCAGGAAAAGGAGCCAGGCCAGGCCUCUCCAGGGGUGGGGCUCACUCCAGGAAGCCAAGUGAAAAAGAAGAUUCCAGAGAACAGAGAACAAUGCCAUGGCUGAGACUGUGUGUCUCACACGCUCAGAGUUGCUGUGUCUGGUUGGGAAGGAAAAGUCAGGUCCAGAAGAAGCUCCUGGAGCAGCAUCUCCAACACCCUUGUCAAGGGGGAGGAUCCGAUCUGUAAGCAGAAGGCUCUUCUCUUUCUGUUGGCUCUGAUGCAUUUUUGGAGAGUGGAUGAUUCUCCUGUUAAGGAGUGUGGUAGAGACGUUAUGGCUUCCUCUGCAUCUCCCGAAUCAAAUGGAAAAUAAAACAAAGAUGCCCUCUUGGCCUCUUUCUGACUCACUUCACAGAGAUCGCACUCAGCAGCAUAAACCAUGAGCUUUGUCAUGAUUACUUGGAAAUAGAUGGAAAGUUGUUUCCAGAGGUCACUGAGAUCCCGAUGCUUUGAGGGUUGCCGUGGAAAUCAUCCAGACCAACUUGAAAUAGUAACAAAGCAUGAACCUGCGGCAGGGAUUCUCAGAGAUUCUCGGAAAGGAGACCAGGACGAAGGCCAAGCUUUAAUCAGCCUUUUAGAGGCAGAAGGAGAUCGUCCCUGCUCAACAAUGACUGUCACCCUUAAGGACAGCUAUCCGCCCGACUCAGACCCCACUCUCCGCCACAGAGAAUUCCAUGUGAAGUCCUUCAGAGCCAACGCAGACGUGUCUUAUCCCAGUCCCCCCGCAUGUCAGAAACGAACCGAGGCCCGCAGCUAACAAGCACAGGGGCUUGGAGGCGUCGUGAUUUGUGGGGUUUUGGUUUUUGUUUUUCUGGGUUUGUUUUUGCUUUAUAUCAUUUGCAUAUCGUUCAGUGACUUUCUGGAGAGAAAGGACCUGGGGUAGAUUGGGCAGCAUCCAUUAUAAAGAGCUACACAUUUCACAUCUGCUAAUUGUCCAUCUUGCCUCUCCUGCAAAAAGACCGUGAUAUUUAUUCACCAAGGAGCUUCGGGAGCAAGGAGGACGUUAGCGGGGAAAAUCUAUCACAGCAGACUCCUUUGCUCCAGAAAACUUAUCAUCUCUUGGGCCCAUCUGCAUUGUUGGAUGGAAGUUACAGUAGCCCAUUUCCCCCAUUAAGUGAUCAUUACACAAAUUUAA